rnacentral:rRNA from 1 species
AACGGCCGUACCAUGCUGAAUAUACCGGUUCUCGUUAGAUCACCGAAGUCAAACAUCAUUCGGCGCGGUCAGUACUUGGGUGGGUGACCACCUGGGAACACCGCGUGCCGUU